rnacentral:lncRNA from 1 species
AGGUCAUAAUUGCUCACUAAUGCUCAGGGCAUACAGAUCAAGUGGUGAUUAAAUGGGUUUGUAUUAAUCAGAAAAGGACCCUUGCAAGUUAAGUUUUUAAUUCAGAUCAAUAAAGAAGUCAUGUAUAUAGAUUAUAAUAAUAUCGACUAACACAGGUAUCACUCUCUAGUCCUCAGAGACCAUCGCAGGCAUCGUCUCUUCUCAUCUAAAUGGUGGCACAUAUGUGAAUAAACUGCAGAAUACUAGAGAGAACAAAAGGCUGGUUCAGACAGCCCGGAAGGGCCCAGGGCUUCUCUCUCCAGGACCUAGGAUCUGUGCACUGUACCACACUGCUCCAGCUUUCUGCUGUGUGGGCCUAGAGCUCUUAGUUCCAGAGGGAAGAAUGCUUUUACCAGUAGACAAAAUAAUGAUUCCAUCGAACUGAUAAUUAAAACUGCC